rnacentral:rRNA from 1 species
CAGUAGCCGCGGUAAUACAGAGGGUGCAAGCGUUAAUCGGAAUUACUGGGCGUAAAGCGCGCGUAGGUGGUUUGUUAAGUUGGAUGUGAAAGCCCCGGGCUCAACCUGGGAACUGCAUCCAAAACUGGCAAGCUAGAGUACGGUAGAGGGUGGUGGAAUUUCCUGUGUAGCGGUGAAAUGCGUAGAUAUAGGAAGGAACACCAGUGGCGAAGGCGACCACCUGUACUGAUACUGACACUGAGGUGCGAAAGCGUGGGGAGCAAACAGGAUUAGAUACCCCUGUAGUCCCUGUCUCUUAUAC